CCUACGGGUGGCAGCAGUGGGGGAUAUUGCACAAUGGGGGAAACCCUGAUGCAGCGACGCCGCGUGGGUGAAGAAGUAUUUCGGUAUGUAAAGCCCUAUCAGCAGGGAAGAAAGAAGACGGUACCUGACUAAGAAGCCCCGGCUAACUACGUGCCAGCAGCCGCGGUAAUACGUAGGGGGCGAGCGUUAUCCGGAUUCACUGGGUGUAAAGGGAGCGUAGACGGCCGUGCAAGCCAGGAGUGAAAGCCCGGGGUCCAACCCCGGGACUGCUCUUGGAACUGUGCGGCUGGAGUGCGGGAGGGGCAGGCGGAAUUCCUGGUGUAGCGGUGAAAUGCGUAGAUAUCAGGAGGAACACCGGCGGCGAAGGCGGCCUGCUGGACCGCGACUGACGUUGAGGCUCGAAAGCGUGGGGAGCGAACAGGAUUAGAUACCCCGGUAGUC
rnacentral:rRNA from 1 species